AUUGAACGCUGGCGGCAUGCCUUACACAUGCAAGUCGAACGGCAGCACGGGUGCUUGCACCUGGUGGCGAGUGGCGAACGGGUGAGUAAUACAUCGGAACAUGUCCUGUAGUGGGGGAUAGCCCGGCGAAAGCCGGAUUAAUACCGCAUACGAUCUACGGAUGAAAGCGGGGGCCCUUCGGGCCUCGCGCUAUAGGGUUGGCCGAUGGCUGAUUAGCUAGUUGGUGGGGUAAAGGCCUACCAAGGCGACGAGCAGGAGCUGGUCUGAGAGGACGAGCAGCAAGAAUGGGAGGGAGGCAAGACACAGACACAGAGGGGAGGAAGCAGGGGGGAAUUUGGGAGAAUGGGGGAAAGCGUGAUAUAGCAAGGCCGCGGGAGGGCAGAAGGAUUGAGGGUGGGGAAGUGAGGUGGUUGGGGAAGAAAUCAUCUGCGCUAAUAAGGGGGGGGGAGGACGGUACCGGAAGAAGAAGAAACGGCUAACUACGGG
rnacentral:rRNA from 1 species